rnacentral:rRNA from 1 species
UGGGGAAUCUUGCACAAUGGGCGAAAGCCUGAUGCAGCAACGCCGCGUGCGGGAAGACAGCCCUAGGGUUGUAAACCGCUUUCAGCAGGGAAGAAACUGACGGUACCUGCAGAAGAAGAUGCGGCCAACUACGUGCCAGCAGCCGCGGUGACACGUAGGCAUCAAGCGUUAUCCGGAUUUAUUGGGCGUAAAGAGCUCGUAGGCGGUUCGGUAAGUCGGGUGUGAAACUCUGGGCUCAACCCAGAGAGGCCACUCGAUACUGCUGUGACUAGAGUGCGGUAGGGGAGCGGGGAAUUCCUGGUGUAGCGGUGAAAUGCGCAGAUAUCAGGAGGAACACCAGUGGCGAAGGCGCCGCUCUGGGCCGUAACUGACGCUGAGGAGCGAAAGCAUGGGUAGCAAACAGGAUUAGAUACCCUGGUAGUCCACACCGUAAACGAUGAAUGCCAGUCGUCGGGUAGCAUGCUAUUCGGUGACACACCUAAC